rnacentral:rRNA from 1 species
GAAUCGGCUUGUGUGUUAGUGGAAGCGUCUGGAAAGUCGCGCAGUAAAGGGUGAUAGCCCCGUACACUAAAAUGCACAGGUCGUGAGUUCGAUGAGUAGGGCGGGACACGUGACAUCCUGUCUGAAUAUGGGGGGACCAUCCUCCAAGGCUAAACACUCCUGACUGACCGAUAGUGAACCAGUACCGUGAGGGAAAGGCGAAAAGAACCCCGGCGAGGGGAGUGAAAUAGAACCUGAAACCGUGUACGUACAAGCAGUGGGAGCACCUUCGUGGUGUGACUGCGUACCUUUUGUAUAAUGGGUCAGCGA